rnacentral:rRNA from 1 species
UACGUAGGGGGCAAGCGUUGUCCGGAUUUAUUGGGCGUAAAGAGCGUGUAGGCGGCCUGGUAGGUCAGCUGUGAAAACUCGAGGCUCAACCUCGAGACGCCGGUUGAAACCAUCAGGCUAGAGUCCGGAAGAGGAGAGUGGAAUUCCUGGUGUAGCGGUGAAAUGCGCAGAUAUCAGGAAGAACACCCGUGGCGAAGGCGGCUCUCUGGUACGUGACUGACGCUGAGACGCGAAAGCGUGGGGAGCAAACAGG